rfam:Brassica oleracea var. oleracea cultivar TO1000 chromosome C9, whole genome shotgun sequence
UAAUCAUGGUGGGGGUAAUCCGCGUGUACUCCUUCAAACGCUCCCAACCCUCAUGAAAACUCUCAGAACCAAACUGUUGAAACUUUCAAAUCUUACUCUUCAGAUA